GGAUGUUUGGAGAGACGGGUAUUAUAUAGGGUUUGUUGGAAGUGUGUGGGAAGAAAUUCGGUCGCGGUUAAUUGGACGACGGAGAUACUAUUACUGUGAAUGUAUUCUGGAGGAAGCUGAUUAUGAGGAUUAUCCGCGACUAAAUAAAUAUUCAGUAGAUAGGGUUAUCUACUUUGAGCGGGUUAUUUGUCUGAAAAUAGCUCGAGCAGUUAUAGCAUGAGCGGCAUAAGCAGUAAACCUAAGAAGACAAUUAUGCCAUUGAUGAUCUACCGCUAUAUAUGCACUAAGACCGCCGAUAACAAUGUAAGGAAAUGAAAAAGUAUGCGCCACCUAUCAUCGCUAGCCAGAAUCUAUAAAGUCCAAAAAUUGAUGCGGAACAGGCCAGUCCAAAACAGUCUUGUUUCGCGACUGCCCUACGUAAUAUAAACGUCGACUCGAACAGGGAUACCGUGUAAACCAGCCGCUGCUCUGUUACGAUGUGCGACGAAUCGGAAAACGUUCGAUUCGCUUCGCACGAUUCAGCGCGCGCGCGCGAUAGCUCUAGCCAAGAAGAAAAAAAAACACGACCGCCUCGUUACUACCAUUCAGACCAAGCCGACGCGCGUCAAAAUUGUUAGUUCACCUUUCGGAAAAGCGCGAUAAAAAUUUAACCGUGACACGUAACAUCUAAAUUUUCAGUGUAAGAUUCGUCAACGGUUGAGAAGUUUGAUUUUUUUACCGGAGCAGAGAGCGAGCCGUGAAAAAAUGCAACUUUUGUUCGUUACGCUGAGGGGAAGAGGAGGAGAACGUCAUUCAACGUCGCACAUCUCGAGAGAGACUUGUCUUCGCGCCGUCGUUUUUUGCCCGCUUUUCGAUGCCUCGAGAGUCGAUGGGAACCGCUCGAGAGAGUUUCCUUCCGAAUUAAUGAGAACGUGCUUCCAGGGGGUUUGAGAAUUUUCGGAGUACACGUCCGUGAUGAAUGAGCUGUGAAAAUGCCGGUGUCAUAAUUUUUUUGGGCGAAAGGAAACUCGAGCGUGCGCUGAAUGGUAAUUGCGAGAGGCGUUUACGGGAAGAACUAAAGUUUUCGCCGCAAACUAUACAGAAAAAAGGAAAAAAAAAUAGAAAAACUGCCAUCCAAAAUCUUAAAAACAAUAAUGACGAACAACGGAGCUCCAAUGACCAUCAAAAAAGAGUAGAGGAACACAGGGAUUUACCGAUAAGAGACACCUCUCGAGAAGAGGCGCUUUUCUCUCGCGGUGUAAACAAACACGAUAUCUCGGCCCGAUCGGUGCCGCCGUGUGUAAUUCGAAACCCUCGUGUGGCCAAGUGACCGAGGAAGAACAAUAGCCGCUUCGCAGCGUCGGCCAUCUGUCGUGUGUCUUCCGUGUGUCCUGGGAGCGAAGAUGGUCACCAAGAUGUACAUCCUCGUCGAGGCCGAUCAGCCGAUACAGGCCGAUCCUCUUUCGAGAUUGAUGACUCAACUGGCGGAUCAACUGAAGAACCGUCCGCACGAGAUACAAGACGCUCGCGUUCUCUCCGCCCACGACAACGGCUACGCGUCGAGAACGCCGAACUACAGCACCAAAACCGACAGGUCAACGACCAACGGGCUUCAAGUGGCACGUCUUCACUCAUCGCUCGAUAAUCGUCGGGAUAUUAUCAAGCCUAAGAGUCUAUCUGAGCACAUCUUGGAUCCAGAUGUCAGUAACAACACCAGACUCGUCGUAGCCGAGGCUUGCGUCGACUCCUCUGGUCGAGCCAAAGCCAAAGUAUCCGUCUGCAACAACGAGCAGUCGAAGGAUGAAUCGAUCCUCAAAGAAGAAGCUAAGGACGUUUACUCUUGCGGACGGAGAAACGGCUUGGAUCCUACACCCGGCGAACUGAGAGGUCUGAGGAAAUUCGAGUACCUGCCGAAAAAAUCGAAAAUACCGGAGUACAAGGGCGGAUGCGCCAACGUCAAAUCCAUCGCAAUUUCCGAUCACUUGUCCAGCGCAUCCACGGCUUCGAAAUAUUCCGGAUACGGGUCGCGAAGAAAUUCCGGUAUUAAGGAGGCCGUCUGUCCGAGGAAUAUUCCCGAGGCGAGAUUGAACAAGUACGGCGCUUGCGCCAGCAGGAAGAACGGAUUGCAGGACAAGUGCGACGCCGUUUCGCGAAACGCCCUGAAGAGCUGCUCGAAAUCGACGAAGAAAUGAAAGCUCACUCGAAGGAAUCGUCCGAUAAAGGAGCCCGCAAGCAACUCGGCUCGUCGUCGCGAGUCAAAGCCAUAAGAGCUCGGCCCAAGAGGCUGUGCGUGAACAAGCCCUUGGAGGAGGCAGACGCCAACAGCCCGAAGAAGGUCAACUCGCGGGAGCUGCGCGCUGGCGUCGUUUACACCGACUGUGAUUGCUAUCGGCGCAACGGCCUGCAGCACGACUGUCCGCGCAAUCGAUGUGGAGGCAGCAAGGAUAAAUGCCUAACAGAACCCUGGCCGGAGUGCGAUCUUGGCAAGUACUACCGCGAGAAAUGGUCGCGGUACGACGCUCUGAGGAGCCGCGAACGCGAGCCGGCCUACUGCGUUCCAUUCGAGUAUGACUUGACUCGCCGGUACGUGGAGAAGUAAAUACCUCGGGAUCUCUACUAGAAAAACUCGCCGGGGAAGAAGCAGUGCUGCGGCACGCGAUGAUAGCUUUGUUUUGAGUCAAUAUCCCGAAAUAGCACAGGCGCAUUAACGCUCCUCUCGGAUGUAGCUUGUUUGAACCGACUUCUUUUUUCGGAGUUGGGGGGAGAUGUUGCUGGCGCUGUGUACUCGUCGGUGUCAAUAAAUUUGAAUGAGAGAACUUUCGGUAUAA